rnacentral:rRNA from 1 species
GACGAACGCUGGCGGCGUGCUUAACACAUGCAAGUCGAACGGAAAGGCCCUGCUUUUGUGGGGUGAUCGGGUGGCGAACGGGGGCGUAACACGUGUGUAACCUGCCCUUCACUUUGGGAUAACUUCAGGAAACUGGGGCUACUACAGUAUAGGAGCUCCUGCUGCAUGGUGGGGGUUGGAACGUUUCGGCGGUCGGGGUUGGACGCGCGGCUUAUGAGCUUGCUAGUGGGGUAGUGGCUUACCCAGGCUGUGACGGGUAGCCGGCCUGUGAGGGUGAACGGGCACAAGGGGACUGAGAGACGGAGCAGACGGCAAUGGGAGGCAGCAGGGGGGAGUAUGGUACAACGGUCGGAAGUCUGAUGCAGAAACGCCGCGUGCGGGAUGACGGUCUGCGGGGUGUAAAACGCUUUCGCCUGUGACGAAGCGGGAGUGACGGUAAUGGGUAAAGAAGCACCGGCUAACUACGUG